GGAAGUGGCUGUUUGGCUGCUGACAACAUGAAGACUUCCUGCGAUGAGAACAGAGGCACAGGUGCCGGCCCUGCAGCCCCCAGAACCCGGACUGGAGGGGGCCAUGGGGCGCCGGACCCUGGCCCUGCCCUGGGUGCUGCUGACCCUGCGUGUCACUGCAGGGACCCCGGAGGUGUGAGUACAAGUUCGGAUGGAGGCCACCGAGCUCUCGUCCUUCACCAUCCGUUGUGGGUUCCUGGAGUCUGGCUCCAUCUCCCUGGUGACUGUGAGCAGGGGGGGCCCCGAUGGUGCUGGGGGGACCACGCUGGCUGUGUUGCACCCGGAACUUGGCAUCCAGCAAUGGGCCCCUGCUCGCCAGGCCCGCUGGGAAACCCAGAGCAGCAUCUCUCUCAUCCUGGAAGGCUCUGGGGCCAGCAGCCCCUGCGCCAACACCACCUUCUGCUGCAAGUUUGCGUCCUUCCCUGAGGGCUCCUGGGAGGCCUGUGGGAGCCUCCCGCCCAGCUCAGACCCAGGGCUCUCUGUCCCGCCGACUCCUGCCCCCAUUCUGCGGGCAGACCUGGCCGGGAUCUUGGGGGUCUCAGGAGUCCUUCUCUUUGACUGUGGCUACCUCCUUCAUCUGCUGUGCCGACAGAAGCACCGCCCUGCCCCUAGGCUCCAGCCAUCCCACACCAGCUCCUAGGCACUGAGAGCACGAGCAUGGGCACCCAGCCAGGCCUCCCAGGCUGCUCUCCACGUCCCUUAUGCCACUAUCAACACCAGCUGCUGCCCAGCUACUUUGGACACAGCUCACCCCCGACAGGGGGCCGUCCUGGUGGGCAUCACUCCCCACCCACACCGCACACUGGCCCCAGGGCCCUGCUGCCUGGGCCUCCACAUCCAUCCCUGCACAUGGCAGCUUUGUCUCUGUUGAGAAUGGACUCUACGCUUAGGCUGGGCAGAGGCCUCCCUGCACUGGUCCUGGCCUCACUCUUUUCCCUGACCCUUGGGGCCCAGGGCCAUGGAGGGACCCUUAGGAGUUCAAUGAGAGAGACCAUGAGGCCACUGGGCUUUCCCCUUCCCAGGCCUCCUGGGUGCCACCCCCUUACGUUAUUCUUGGGCCUCUAAUAAGUGUCCCACAGGUGCCUGGCCAGGCCCACCUGCUGCAGAUGUGGUCUGUGUGUGUGCAUGUGUGGGUGUGUGUGGGCACAGGUGUGAGUGUGUGAGCAACAGUACCCCAUUCCAGUCGUUUCCUGCUGUGACUAAGUCAGCAACACAGUUCCUCUGA
rnacentral:lncRNA from 1 species